AGUUAACAUUGCAACUGCUGAUUUUGAAAGGCUUAUUUCUGGCUGCCCACUGCUUGAACGAUUGAUUGUAAGAAAUUUGAGCUGUAUUGAUCAUCUUCACAUCAAUGUCCUCAAUCUCAAGUAUUUUUGCUUUGAUGGAGAAUUCAAAUCUAUUUGUUUCGACACUCCACUUCUUGAGGUUUUGUCUAUCAAUUUAUAUC
rnacentral:misc_RNA from 1 species